rnacentral:rRNA from 1 species
UACGGGGGGGGCAAGCGUUGUUCGGAAUUAUUGGGCGUAAAGAGCUCGUAGGCGGUCUGUUGCGUCGGCUGUGAAAACCCGGGGCUCAACUCCGGGCCUGCAGCCGAUACGGGCAGACUAGAGUUCGGCAGGGGAGACUGGAAUUCCUGGUGUAGCGGUGAAAUGCGCAGAUAUCAGGAGGAACACCGGUGGCGAAGGCGGGUCUCUGGGCCGAUACUGACGCUGAGGAGCGAAAGCAUGGGUAGCGAACAGG